rnacentral:rRNA from 1 species
CCUACGGGCGGCUGCAGUGGGGAAUAUUGGACAAUGGGGGCAACCCUGAUCCAGCCAUGCCGCGUGUGUGAAGAAGGCCCUCGGGUUGUAAAGCACUUUCAGUGAGGAAGAACGCCUGGUGGUUAAUACCCAUCAGGAAAGACAUCACUCACAGAAGAAGCACCGGCUAACUCCGUGCCAGCAGCCGCGGUAAUACGGAGGGUGCGAGCGUUAAUCGGAAUUACUGGGCGUAAAGCGCGCGUAGGUGGCUUGAUAAGCCGGUUGUGAAAGCCCCGGGCUCAACCUGGGAACGACAUCCGGAACUGUCAAGCUAGAGUGCAGGAGAGGAAGGUAGAAUUCCCGGUGUAGCGGUGAAAUGCGUAGAGAUCGGGAGGAAUACCAGUGGCGAAGGCGGCCUUCUGGACUGACACUGACACUGAGGUGCGAAAGCGUGGGUAGCAAACAGGAUUAGAUACCCGUGUAGUC